rnacentral:rRNA from 1 species
AUUGAACGCUGGCGGCAUGCCUUACACAUGCAAGUCGAACGGUAACGGGCCUUCGGGUGCCGACGAGUGGCGAACGGGUGAGUAAUGCAUCGGAACGUACCUUUCAGUGGGGGAUAACGUAGCGAAAGUUACGCUAAUACCGCAUAUUCUGUGAGCAGGAAAGCAGGGGAUCGCAAGACCUUGCGCUGAUUGAGCGGCCGAUGUCAGAUUAGCUAGUUGGUGAGGUAAAGGCUCACCAAGGCGACGAUCUGUAGCGGGUCUGAGAGGAUGAUCCGCCACACUGGAACUGAGACACGGUCCAGACUCCUACGGGAGGCAGCAGUGGGGAAUAUUGGACAAUGGGCGAAAGCCUGAUCCAGCGACGCCGCGUGUCGGAAGGAGUCCUUCGGGAUGUAAACGACUUUUGGUGGAGACGAAUAAGCAGCUCAGGGAAUGGGGCUGUGAUGACGGUAUCCAUGGAAUAAGCCCCGGCUAACUACGUG